UACGUAGGGUGCGAGCGUUAAUCGGAAUUACUGGGCGUAAAGCGUGCGUAGGCGGUUCGUUAUGUCUGCUGUGAAAGCCCCGGGCUUAACCUGGGAAUGGCAGUGGAAACUGGUGGGCUUGAGUGUGGCAGAGGGGGGUGGAAUUCCGCGUGUAGCAGUGAAAUGCGUAGAGAUGCGGAGGAACACCGAUGGCGAAGGCAGCCCCCUGGGCUGACACUGACGCUGAGGCACGAAAGCGUGGGGAGCAAACAGG
rnacentral:rRNA from 1 species